GACGUAGGGCGCGAGCGUUGUCCGGAAUUAUUGGGCGUAAAGAGCUCGUAGGCGGUCUGUCGCGUCUGCUGUGAAAACUCAGGGCUUAACCCUGAGCCUGCAGUGGGUACGGGCAGACUAGAGUGCGGUAGGGGAGACUGGAAUUCCUGGUGUAGCGGUGAAAUGCGCAGAUAUCAGGAGGAACACCGGUGGCGAAGGCGGGGUCUC
rnacentral:rRNA from 1 species